CCUGUCCCUAGAGGCAUUGCAGGUGUGGCUACUGUGUCGCAUGUGUGUCAGUAGGUGGUAGAGAGGGAAAGGCCAUGUCUACACUCAGUGUCCUGACCUGGGAACAUCUGAAUGAUCAGUAGCCUAACAUU
ensembl:snoRNA Gm24257 predicted gene, 24257